rnacentral:rRNA from 1 species
AUUGAACGCUGGCGGCAGGCCUAACACAUGCAAGUCGAACGAGUGGCGGACGGGUGAGUAAUGUCUGGGAACCUGCCUGAUGGAGGGGGAUAACUACUGGAAACGGUAGCUAAUACCGCAUACCAUCGGAUGUGCCCAGAUGGGAUUCGCUAGUAGGUGGGGGAACGGCUCACCUAGGCGACGAUCCCUAGCUGGUCUGAGAGGAUGACCAGCCACACUGGAACUGAGACACGGCCCAGACUCCUACGGGAGGCAGCAGUGGGGAAGAUUGCACAAUGGGGGCAAGCCUGAUGCAGCCAUGCCGCGUGUAGGAAGAAGGCCUUCGGGUUGUAAAGUACUUUCAGCGGGGAGGCGGUACCCGCAGAAGAAGCACCGGCUAACUCCGUGCCAGCAGCCGCGGUAAUUC